GAAAAGCCCUAGAAACUAGCCUAUAGUACAUUCUUUUGGAGGCCUUUUCUCAGGUGAAGCUCUCCAGUGAUUCUAGCUUGUGUCAAGUUGACAUAAAACUAGCCAGCAUAGGCUUUAUCUGGCUUCUAGGUUAUAGCCCAUCAUCCAGGUGUGUCAGGGUAGGAACUCAAAGCAGGAACCUGGAGGCAAGAGCUGAAGUAGAGGCCAUAGAGGGAUGCUGCUUACUGUUUUGCUCUACAUGGCUUGUUCAACCUGCUUUCUCAUGGCAUCCAGGAUCGCUUGCCCAAGGGUGGCCCUGCAGUGGGCUGGGCUUUCCCAUAUCAAUCAACAGUGAAGAAAAUAUCUUGCAGACAUGGCCACAGGUGAAGGUAGUUCCUCAGUAGAGGUUUCCUCUUCCCAGGUGACUAAUGUGUGUCAGGUUGACACACAUAGAACAGCACCCCAACCCUGGCUUCCCUUCCCCCUCCGAUAUUUCCCUGUCUUUCAUUUGCAUGGGAGCUGCUUUCUGUCAUCUGAGUUUACACAGCAUCUCAUCAAUUCCUGUUCUCUCGAGUUUCUACUGCUGUCUUGAUUCCACCCAACCGAAGGCCAGGACCUGAGCCACACUCUGGAGAACUCAUCAGAAACAGCUUUCUUGGUCACAGUGCCCUCUGUCCUUCAGUGUGAACCUUAGGCACAUGGCCCUGAGAAGCUGUCUAGAGCCCCUGCUUCUUGAGAUUACACCCAUGGCAGAUGCAACUGCAAGACAAUUGGUUUAGGUCAUCGGUAGAGAAGCGAAGCCAGGGUCUGGACUACUUUUACAAAUGCUUUCUGAC
rnacentral:lncRNA from 1 species